rnacentral:rRNA from 1 species
AACGAACGCUGGCGGCAUGCCUAACACAUGCAAGUCGAACGAGACCUUCGGGUCUAGUGGCGCACGGGUGCGUAACGCGUGGGAAUCUGCCCUUGGGUUCGGAAUAACUCAGAGAAAUUUGAGCUAAUACCGGAUGAUGACGAAAGUCCAAAGAUUUAUCGCCCAGGGAUGAGCCCGCGUAAGAUUAGCUUGUUGGUGGGGUAAUGGCCUACCAAGGCGACGAUCUUUAGCUGGUCUGAGAGGAUGAUCAGCCACACUGGGACUGAGACACGGCCCAGACUCCUACGGGAGGCAGCAGUGGGGAAUAUUGGACAAUGGGCGCAAGCCUGAUCCAGCAAUGCCGCGU